rnacentral:rRNA from 1 species
CGGCAGGCCUAACACAUGCAAGUCGAGCGGUAGCACAGAGAGCUUGCUCUCGGGUGACGAGCGGCGGACGGGUGAGUAAUGUCUGGGAAACUGCCUGAUGGAGGGGGAUAACUACUGGAAACGGUAGCUAAUACCGCAUAACGUCGCAAGACCAAAGUGGGGGACCUUCGGGCCUCAUGCCAUCAGAUGUGCCCAGAUGGGAUUAGCUAGUAGGUGGGGUAACGGCUCACCUAGGCGACGAUCCCUAGCUGGUCUGAGAGGAUGACCAGCCACACUGGAACUGAGACACGGUCCAGACUCCUACGGGAGGCAGCAGUGGGGAAUAUUGCACAAUGGGCGCAAGCCUGAUGCAGCCAUGCCGCGUGUGUGAAGAAGGCCUUCGGGUUGUAAAGCACUUUCAGCGGGGAGGAAGGCGGUGAGGUUAAUAACCUCAUCGAUUGACGUUACCCGCAGAAGAAGCACCGGCUAACUCCGUGCCAGCAGCCGCGGUAAUACGGAGGGUGCAAGCGUUAAUCGGAAUUACUGGGCGUAAAGCGCACGCAGGCGGUCUGUCAAGUCGGAUGUGAAAUCCCCGGGCUCAACCUGGGAACUGCAUUCGAAACUGGCAGGCUAGAGUCUUGUAGAGGGGGGUAGAAUUCCAGGUGUAGCGGUGAAAUGCGUAGAGAUCUGGAGGAAUACCGGUGGCGAAGGCGGCCCCCUGGACAAAGACUGACGCUCAGGUGCGAAAGCGUGGGGAGCAAACAGGAUUAGAUACCCUGGUAGUCCACGCCGUAAACGAUGUCGAUUUGGAGGUUGUGCCCUUGAGGCGUGGCUUCCGGAGCUAACGCGUUAAAUCGACCGCCUGGGGAGUACGGCCGCAAGGUUAAAACUCAAAUGAAUUGACGGGGGCCCGCACAAGCGGUGGAGCAUGUGGUUUAAUUCGAUGCAACGCGAAGAACCUUACCUGGUCUUGACAUCCACAGAACUUUCCAGAGAUGGAUUGGUGCCUUCGGGAACUGUGAGACAGGUGCUGCAUGGCUGUCGUCAGCUCGUGUUGUGAAAUGUUGGGUUAAGUCCCGCAACGAGCGCAACCCUUAUCCUUUGUUGCCAGCGGUUAGGCCGGGAGCUCAAAGGAGACUGCCAGUGAUAAACUGGAGGAAGGUGGGGAUGACGUCAAGUCAUCAUGGCCCUUACGACCAGGGCUACACACGUGCUACAAUGGCAUAUACAAAGAGAAGCGACCUCGCGAGAGCAAGCGGACCUCAUAAAGUAUGUCGUAGUCCGGAUUGGAGUCUGCAACUCGACUCCAUGAAGUCGGAAUCGCUAGUAAUCGUAGAUCAGAAUGCUACGGUGAAUACGUUCCCGGGCCUUGUACACACCGCCCGUCACACCAUGGGAGUGGGUUGCAAAAGAAGUAGGUAGCUUAACCUUCGGGAGGGCGCUUACCACUUUGUGAUUCAUGACUGGGGUGAAAUCG